UGCCUUGAAUAUGCAUUAGCAAUAGUGGCUCCACACCAUGCAGUGAUACCCAGCUUCCAUUUGCUACCUUUAAUUAAUAAUUGAAGGAGGAUGCACAAAAGCAGAAAGGAAAGAGGUGCCAAACGUUAAGAGCCCAAAGGCCAGGAGCCAGUGUGGUAGGAAGUCCACGGGAAGAGCUGAAGAUCAACAGUGCACACUGAAAAAAGAAUGGAAGACUCAAAGAAGAAAGGAAGACACAUCUAAACACCUACCAUUGCCUGAGUGAUUCCUCUUGAAGGCAGGACCCUGUUGGCAGUGUCAGCUCCCACCAUCAAUCCACAAUGUGUGAGGAACAAAAUGCCACAAGAAUCUGGAAAUCAUUCAGAAUGUAGUGCAGAACUUUGUAUGUAGAUUUGUGUUCAGAAUGGCUAGGCAGC